UACGUAGGGUGCGAGCGUUAAUCGGAAUUACUGGGCGUAAAGCGUGCGCAGGCGGUUUUCCAAGACAGAUGUGAAAUCCCCGGGCUCAACCUGGGAAUGGCAAUGGAUACUGGCAGGCUAGAGUGCGGUAGAGGGUAGUGGAAUUCCCGGUGUAGCGGUGAAAUGCGUAGAGAUCGGGAGGAACACCAGUGGCGAAGGCGGCUACCUGGACCAGCACUGACACUGAGGCACGAAGGCCAGGGGAGCAAACGGG
rnacentral:rRNA from 1 species